UACGUAGGGCGCAAGCGUUGUCCGGAAUUAUUGGGCGUAAAGAGCUCGUAGGCGGUCUGUCGCGUCUGCCGUGAAAACCCGAGGCUUAACCUCGGGCUGGCGGUGGAUACGGGCAGACUAGAGGUAGGUAGGGGAGAAUGGAAUUCCCGGUGUAGCGGUGAAAUGCGCAGAUAUCGGCAGGAACACCCGUGGCGGAAGCGGCCACCUAGCCCGCACCUGACGCUGAGGCGCGACAGCGUGGGGAGCGAACGGG
rnacentral:rRNA from 1 species